UACGUAGGGUGCAAGCGUUAAUCGGAAUUACUGGGCGUAAAGCGUGCGCAGGCGGUUGGGCAAGACAGAGGUGAAAUCCCCGGGCUUAACCUGGGAAUGGCCUUUGUGACUGCACGGCUAGAGUGUGUCAGAGGGGGGUAGAAUUCCACGUGUAGCAGUGAAAUGCGUAGAGAUGUGGAGGAAUACCGAUGGCGAAGGCAGCCCCCUGGGAUAACACUGACGCUCAUGCACGAAAGCGUGGGGAGCAAACAGG
rnacentral:rRNA from 1 species